rnacentral:rRNA from 1 species
AUUGAACGCUGGCGGCAGGCCUAACACAUGCAAGUCGAACGAGUGGCGGACGGGUGAGUAAUGUCUGGGAAACUGCCUGAUGGAGGGGGAUAACUACUGGAAACGGUAGCUAAUACCGCAUACCCUCAGAUGUGCCCAGAUGGGAUUAGCUAGUUGGUGGGGUAACGGCUCACCAAGGCGACGAUCCCUAGCUGGUCUGAGAGGAUGACCAGCGAAACUGGAACUGAGACACGGUCCAGACUCCUACGGGAGGAAGCAGUGGGGAAUAUUGCACAAUGGGCGCAAGCCUGAUGAAGAAAUGCCGCGUGUAGGAAGAAGGCCUUAGGGUUGUAAAGUACUUUAAGCGGGGAGGCGUUACCCGCAGAAGAAGCACCGGCUAACUCCGUGCCAGCAGCCGCGGUAAUUC